CUGACCCGCGCCCCCCGCAGGCGUCAGCUGCAUGGUGGCCAAGCUCGCCCGCGCCUGCACCCUGCGCAUCCGCCUCCGCCUCCUUACCCCAGCCCCUGGCCCCGCGCCGCCCCCGGAGAACUUCUUCAGCGAGUUCCAGAUGGAAGGCGUCUCCGAGGACAGCAAUGCGAUCUACGUGGAGCUCGCGGCCGAGAACCUCUCUCGCGCCCCGAAGACCGCGCAGAACGCCCGGGCCUUGGAGGUCAAGCUGACCAACAAGCACUUCCCCUCCUGUCGGUGUCCGGUGUCCGUAGAGCUGGUCACUCCCAGGAAGCCGUGGAGGAACCUGCAGGAGCCACAGUCCCAGACGCUGAUGCUGCUGCAGGAGGAACGGGGCAUGUGCCAUAAAGACCCUCAGUCAGCACGGCGUGUGGCAGAAACGCGGUGGAGAGGGAGUGUCCGCCCAGGGACGGCCGAAGCCCUUCGAGUUCCUGCCGGGUGGUGGCCGCGGGCACCAGUGUGGGUCACAGAGGGACGCUGCCAUGUCGGUGAGCAUUUAUCUGCCGGUCUCGAAGACGAUGAAGAGCGUUGUGGAAAAAAUGAAAAUAUCAGCAAUCAGCUUAUUAUUGAAGCAAACCUCAAUGGAGACUUGAACCUGAAAAUAGAGUCGGAACUAGUGUGCGUUACAACUCACUUUAAAGAUCUUGGGAAUCCGCCAUCAGCCUCUGAAAACGAGUCUGAGGACCGCAGCCCAGAGCAGAUGGCGGAGGUGCAGGUGGACAUCAGGAAGUUCCUGCAGUUUCUUGCUGGACAACAAGUGAAUCCCACAAGGGGCGUCUGCAAUAUCGUGAGUCACAAGAUGGUGCACUUUGACCUGCUCCACGAGGACAUGUCCCUCCAGUAUUUCAUCCCGGCCUUGUCCUAGCACUGCCAACUGCACGGGGCCCGGAGACCAUUGCCAUGACCGGAGAGGCACGGGGUGAUGUGCUCAGUCAUUUGUCAAUAUGUCCUCACAGCAGCACAAAUUCUAAUUGUCAGAAAGAUUAAGACAGCACAGUCCUUUAAAUUCCUCACAAUCAUGGUUAUGCCGCAACAGUAAGUAAUCUAUUGCUGUCCAAUUCUCUAGAACUGUGUCCCUCACCUGGCUCAGCUCUUGAUUUGUCCCCUGUAUAGCCCUGGAAGUGGCAUUCAGUGCCUUUACCCUGCUACAGGCUAGCCGGGUCACUUCUACAUUAAGGGGCCUACCAUUGUUGGGAAAAUUGGACAGAUACAUGCAAAAAAAUGAAACUAGACCACCAACUUACACCAUACACAAAAAUAAACUCAAAAUGGAUAAAGGAUUUAAAUGUA